rnacentral:rRNA from 1 species
UACGUAGGGGGCAAGCGUUGUCCGGAAUCAUUGGGCGUAAAGAGCGUGUAGGCGGCCCGAUAAGUCCGCCGUGAAAGCCCAGGGCUCAACCCUGGGAUGCCGGUGGAAACUGUCGGGCUAGAGUCCGGAAGAGGCGAGUGGAAUUCCUGGUGUAGCGGUGAAAUGCGCAGAUAUCAGGAGGAACACCAAUGGCGAAGGCAGCUCGCUGGGACGGUACUGACGCUGAGACGCGAAAGCGUGGGGAGCAAACAGG